AUAAAUAAAACCCACCAAUGCCAUAGGUAGGGGAUUUGAUCGACUCCUACCCAUUUGUUAAUUCAAAAUCACAUCGAGGGAGGGAUGUCAAACCUCAUCUUUAGAAGUAGUAGAAGAGAGUAGAGAGAUAUAUGUUGGAGACAGUACCUCGAUUUCAAGGAGUUGAAGCAAUCUAGAGUAGGUACUUCCUUCGUUGCAAUCUAUGAAGAAAACCAUUACAAUGCACGAACACAAUGAAAGAUGAUCUGGGCUUGAAAAUACUUUGACACUACCUGGAGGAUCAAUGAGAGUAAUAAACUCGGAACUCUUUCCGAUGGUACACUCAUUAACAAAAAAAGUUAGCUGCUUCUUUAGAUUCAUGAAAAAUAUGUCUAUAACGAACUUGGACUUUACUAACCAGCAAUUAUAAUUUAGAUCCCAUGCACAUUGGAUAGCAAUUAUAGUGUAAUUCAACCCAGAUAUGUGAAUACUAAGAUGUGCUUUCAACUCAGUCACAAGGUUAGAACCAAUUCAAUCUAUGCUAACAGAACCUGCCAAGAUGAUUACUUAAUAAUCCUCCAGGUUUCCUUUGCUACAUGCAUCAGUAUAUAAUUUAAGAAUGCUCUUUGGGGAUUAUCCAAAAAAUAAGUAUCAUUCUGCUUUUUCUUUGAGCAAGAAUAGAUGGUUGAAAAUACUAAAAAUCACCUUUCCUUUGUUCGUAAUUCAAUAUCUCUACGGCCUGAAUUUCAGUAGCUUAUUUUUGAACCCUUCAGAUGAUAUAUUGUGGAUUCAUAUCAUUGUACCCAUAUUUUGCGUCAUUUUCUCUGUACAUACAAGCCGAAAAAUGAGUAUAGUAACAAUAAUUUGGGUACAACUAGGUGAUAGAUAUAAUUCCCAGAAAAUUGCCUCACACCAUGACUGAAUGUAUCUUGAAUGUAAAUGCCAAAAAUAUGAAUAAAAUGAUCCCAGAUUAUAGAAGCAGCAGUUCCUGUAAUAAACAAAUGAGAUAAACUUAUUGGUUGGAGCAACAUUUAAAUGUGAUAACUAAUUGAAUUUUGAAUGAUUGUUAGUCACCUGAUCAACCAGUAAUUAGUGAUGAAAGGGAAAUUUUGGCAUUCACUUACGCCAGCAAAAUUUAAAAGAUUACUGAAUGGAUUUAGUAGGACGAAAUAGCUAAUUUCCAUUGUUGAGUAAUUUCUGAAAAACAUCAUCCAGGUAAUUUCCAAAUAAGAGAUCUUUUUUUCUUUUCUCCAUAACUCAGUUUGGUUAUAAAACCUAAACCAAAAUUUAAAUUGCUUAAUAUUAAGAUUCUGAGUAUUUGAAGUCCAUGUACAUACACACAGUGAUAACAGGUUAAUAAACUUAAGAGGAAUAAAUUUAGCUAGACGUAGACAAAAUGUUAAAAAAGGAAUACUUUAUUAAUUUAUUUUAAGCAGUCCUAUAAUAAGUAGAAAUCCCAAAA
rnacentral:lncRNA from 1 species